rnacentral:rRNA from 1 species
CCUACGGGAGGCAGCAGUGGGGGAUAUUGCACAAUGGGGGGAACCCUGAUGCAGCGACGCCGCGUGGGUGAAGAAGCGCCUCGGCGCGUAAAGCCCUUUCAGCAGGGAAGAAAAUGACGGUACCUGAAGAAGAAUCCCCGUCUAACUACGUGCCAGCAGCCGUGGUAACACGUAGGGGGCAAGCGUUAUCCGGAUUUACUGGGGGUGAAGGGGGCGUAGGCGGCUAGGCAAGCCAGGAGUGAAAGGCCGGGGCCCAACCCCGGGACUGCUCUUGAAACCGUCAGGCUGGAGUGGAGGAGGGGCAGGCGGAAUGCGUGGUGUAGCGGUGAAAUGCGUAGAUAUCAGGAGGAACACCGAUGGCGAAGGCGGCCUGCUGGACUGCAACUGACGUUGAGGCCCGAAAGCGUGGGGAGCAAACAGGAUUAGAUACCCGUGUAGUC